GACGAACGCUGGCGGCGUGCUUAACACAUGCAAGUCGAACGAAGAGCGACGGAAGCUUGCUUCUAUCAAUCUUAGUGGCGAACGGGUGAGUAACGCGUAAUCAACCUGCCCUUCAGAGGGGGACAACAGUUGGAAACGACUGCUAAUACCGCAUACGAUCUAACCUCGGCAUCGAGGAUAGAUGAAAGGUGGCCUCUACAUGUAAGCUAUCACUGAAGGAGGGGAUUGCGUCUGAUUAGCUAGUUGGAGGGGUAACGGCCCACCAAGGCGAUGAUCAGUAGCCGGUCUGAGAGGAUGAACGGCCACAUUGGGACUGAGACACGGCCCAGACUCCUACGGGAGGCAGCAGUGGGGAAUCUUCCGCAAUGGACGAAAGUCUGACGGAGCAACGCCGCGUGAGUGAUGACGGCCUUCGGGUUGUAAAGCUCUGUUAAUCGGGACGAAAGGCCUUCUUGCGAAUAGCGAGAAGGAUUGACGGUACCGGAAUAGAAAGCCACGGCUAACUACGUG
rnacentral:rRNA from 1 species